ensembl:lncRNA
GCAAAAAUGAAGGAAAACGCUGCUAGGAACAUGCCAAAGCAACAGGUGGCGAUAUAUUCCUAAACUCAGCUAAAAACAGUUUAGGUCUUGACAAACUUCACUGAUGGUUCAAAUGUUUAGCAACUUUCAGUGUGUUGAUUCAGCAGUCUGUAUUUAAACUUCUAGUUUAUUAUAUUUGUGUAUGUUUUAUUUCCAGGUGAAUGCAGAGUUCCUGCAGAUCACUACAAAACCCCUGCAGGCGAAGUUCUUGGCUCAGCUGGACAAUUUAACAGACAAGCUGAUGCAAAAUUUUCAGGGGAGCAAAGGAGCAAAGGGCCAAAAGAUCAAGGAUAUCAUGGCGAUCAGUAGUUUGUAUGAUGACAUCGACAUAAAGAGGGAGCAUACUCUUAAAAGCCUGGUGAUCUACUUUAAUGAAGAUCCAGACCUACUGUUCAAGGAGUAUCUGACCUCCUCCACUGAGGAUGAACGGUUGAGGUCCACUGCAGCAACUGUCACUGUAUUUACACCAUCAGAAGAGAAGGGAUUCAGGAGCCAGAGGAUGUUGGAGUUGUCAUUGAAGGUACUACAGUUAUGAACAACCUCGGUAGUGUCAUCAUGGCAUUCAUCGUCCUCUUUGGACUGAUUUAUGCACUUGAUCUGAGCUAUCCAAAUGACCACAAGUACGCUUUUGAGUUCUGUCAGAAGAUUUUGAUGAAUCUGGAUGGACAAAGGCUCAGUACAAAGAUGCAGCAAAUGAAAAUGAAGAUGUUUGCUUAGGCAAACAAGACCCAGCACAAAAGUUGAUUUUGGCCUUUUUAUAUCUUUUGUUCAAACUGUGACCUUUUUUUCUUUCUUUUUUUUGGCCAAAUGGAAGUUGUCUAUUUUUGUCUGCUGUUAUGUUGUGAGUUAUGUGACCUUUAAUCUGUACUACUAUAGAUGGAUGAAAAGACUGGGGAUUUAGCUCAGAAAAAGUUUCAUGGUUGUAACCACCAUUUUCUUUUUGAUUGCUUUUGGGAUUUGCAAAGGUAAUAGAAAAAUGUUGACAAGUUUUGUGUCUUCCAGUGUUUUAAAGUUGGUCUUCCCGUUCUUAUAAGCUUGUAAAUGUUUACAUGUAAUUGGUUUUGGAGAAGUAAAGUUGAAAGAUUUUUUUUUUAUUAAAAUACCUCCCACUUGGUAACAGAAAAAUGUUCGUCAUGAAAACACACACACACACACACACACACACACACACACACACACACACA